AUAAAUCUUUAUGACCAUGAACUAGGGUCCACAACACCACAAAUAAACAUGUCUCCAUGUCCACAAAAACAGUAUUUCCCAUGGAUAAAAUAACUUAGGCACAUGUUACAUCGAUCCCACACAAUAUAACAAAGUCCAAAUAAUUAAAAAACUUUUCAAAGUUCCAAGCACUGUUUAGCUACAAAUAAUGAAUCUUCCUCUGAAUUUCGAAACUGAUAAUGAAACACCAAUAUAUAGGAAUCUUCAGCAAUGCUUCCCACGUCUGUACAUGAUUAUUAUUGCAUACAGCCAUACACGUCCUCAUCCUAGUUCCCACCUUAACGUUAGCUUCUAUCUAAAAUUAUAUGUUGUCUCUUUCUCAAUCUCUCACACCAAUCACCAAGCUGCUCUCUAUUUUUCAUUAUCUUAUGCACCAUUGGCUUAUUCUUAUCAAUGUCCAUCUCAGAAAUCUCAUCUUCACCAUCAUCACAAAGAGUUGAACUAGUUUCCAAGUCUGUGUCUGAACGACUUGUUCAAAAAUUUUCUGAUGUGUCUGAAUUCGACUUUGAUUAUGAGCAAAGUGGACUGUGGUCUCCUCCAAUCCAAAGAAGGGUGUUCAUGAGCUCCCCAGGAAGAAUAUUCACUGAGGAUGAAAUGCUUGCGAGACUUAGAAAAGUUAUGCAUACUCGUCCUCCAAGAAAACACAAAUUUUGUUUCAAUGUAUUAGUUUGUUGCUUCUGAAGAAGAUGUCGAAGACAACCUCUUUUCUAUGAAUGGAACUAAUUUAGCAGGUCAAAGCUCAAUACAAAGUGACCCCGAUUUAUAAUUAUUGUGGUAGUUUUUUAAAGAUUCUUUUACUUGGUGAUGUAAAUGUUACAUUGUCUGGAAGAAACACAGAGAAAUAUAUUGUUCAUGCCUAUCUAUUUAAUUUCCACUCUAAUCUUUAUACAAUGUGUUUGAAAAGCCAAGGCCUUUGCUUGGCUUUUUAAAUGCUAGUGGCUUUGAUUAUUGCUUUCAGACAAGUAUUGAUUCAUUGAAUAGAAGUGAUCUAAACUAGAUUGAACUGUA